UUUAAACUUGGGAGGUGGAGGUUGCAGUGAGCUGAGAUCAUGCCAUUGCACUCUAGCCUGGACAAUAAGAGCUAAACUCCAUCUCAAAAAAAAAAAAAAAAAAGGCAAUUGGGGGAAAACAGUCCUUCCAGCUCACCUAGCACUGCCCAUCUUUUUCCAUAUUCAGAUCACAUGGCGAGGCAGGUAUGCUUGUCCAUCUUGGCGGUAAGGAAGCGAAGGCUCAGAUUCCCAUGGCUAGUCAGGCAGGUACAGGGACUUGAACAAGAUGGCACUUUCCCAUGGCCCACAUGCUGCCUAAGACCCUGAAGGCUGACUCCUGGACACUGUCCCCAGCCAUCUGCCUCUCUGCAACUAUCUGCCACCCCUCCACCUGCCCUGGGACAACUGCCUCCAGAUGAAGGAGCCUGCUAUUGCCUCUGCCUCCCCCAGCAGACCCCAGCUUCCACUCCGAUUCGCCUCAGAACUGCUGGUGCUGGCCCAGGCCAGGCUUUGGGCACUGUGUGAGGGAGGGGUUUGAGAAAAGCCCAUUCUGGUGCAGGAAUAGCACUCAAAGACUUCUGGUGAACCCUCCGAGACUCCCAGGAGCCUGGACAUGUUCCCAGCCCAGCAUGACUAGUGGCAUGAGUAAGUGUGGAUACCUGGUGGAUACCUGGCUUGGGUGCCAACGCCUGGAAAGGGGCUGGCAGGUCCAUCCCUGAGGGCUGGGGCCACGGCCACCUGCUAGCCCUGGGACACAGAGUAUUAAUACAUCACUCACACUGAGCCUCAGUUUCCCCCUCUGUAAGGUGAGCUCUAGCAUCUACCUCCUAGGUGUGAAGACUAAAUGAGAUGCCUCCUCUGUCUGCACUCCGCUGUAACCCUAGUUCCUAGAAUACCACCUUGCCCCAGCAGGAUCUCCCGAAAUAUGUGUGAAAGGCACCUGCAUAAAGCACCCAGUGCAGGGCCAGAAACCCAGUGACCUCUCAGCCGGGUGUCCACUGGAGGCACACUGACUGCAUUGUGCUGCUGCAGUUUCCACUGUCUCCACCUUUCCAACAUCAUCUGACCACUCUGCCCCUCUGAGAGCUCUGGAAACACACUUAUGGCAUCCAGUGACCCCUCAACCCCUGCCGUUCCCCCGCCAAACACAACCCACCCUCCUCUCUGCCUCUCAAAGUCCCAUCUUCCCCUGAGGCCCAAGCAGGGCCUUCCUUCAGGCAACCUUCUCCAACUACCCCUCACCCUCCUGAUCCCCCUUUUGGGGGCUCCUGUGGCCUGUUGGCAGCUGCCACAACAGUGUACCCUAAGUACUUUUUUUUUUGAGACAGAGUCUCACCCUGUCGCCCAGGCUGGAGUGCAGUGGUGCUAUCUCGGCUCACUGCAACCUCUGUCUCCCGGGUUCAAGUGAUUCUCCUGACUCAGCCUGCCAAGUAGCUGGGAUUACAGCUGCGUACCACCAUGCCUGGCUAAUUUUUGGAUUUUAAGUAGACACGGGGUUUUACCAUGUUGGUCAGGCUGGUCUUGAACUCCUGACCUCAAGUGAUCCUCCUACCUUGGCCUCCCAAAGUGCUGGGAUUACAGGUGUGAGCCACCAUGCCUGGCCCACCCUGAAGGCUCUGGCCAGCCCUUAGUGCUCACCAUGUGGCAUGUCGCCCUGCAGGGACAGCCCCUGCAAAUCUGGGUUUGGGAGGCCAGAACACAGCCCUUGGUGGACAUGGAGGUGGAUGGGUGGCUUAAAAAGGGUCAGGAGGCCGGGCAAGGUGGCUCAUGCCUGUCAUCCCAGCAUUUUGGGAGGCCGAGGCAGGAGGAUCACUUGAUGCCAGGAGUUUGAGACCAGCCUAGCCAACAUGGUGGAACCCCAUCUCUACUAGAAAUACAAAAAUUAGCCAAGCAUGGUGGCAUGUGCUUAUAAUCCCAGCUACUCGGGAGGCUGAGGCAGGAGAAUCGCUUGAACCUGGGAGGUGGAGGUUGCAGUGAGCGGAGAUCGUGCCACUGCAUUCCAGCCUGGGCAACAAAGUGAGACUUGGUCUCUCUCGCUCUGUCUAUAUAUAUAUAAUGUAAAAAAAAGGGUCAGGAGAGGCACUGCGCUGUUUAAGGCGGGGUAGACACCCCCCACAUCUUACCACCACGCUUGUGGUUCCCAUGCAGACACCCCUCCUUCUGUGGUUAGGAACCCACUCGCCUCCAACCUCAUCUAUUCACUGAGGUCAACCACACCCCCUUUAUCAGGAGGAGGGGGUGCACUGACCCGGCCUGGCCCCUCCCUCCUGAACCCAGACUGGGUAAAACUUAGAAGUCACUGGCACCACCACUCCUUUCUCUGCCCCAGGAUGUGGGGCCACAUUCAAGCUUAGCCUUCCUCCAUCUAUCUGGGGCAGGUGCCCAGGUGAGGUGGCUAAACAGAAGGGCAGGAGCCCAGGCUGGGCAUGGUGGCUCACGCCUGUAAUCCCAACACUUUGGGAGGCCGAGGUGGGUGGAUCACUUGA
rnacentral:lncRNA from 1 species